GAUGAACGCUGGCUACAGGCUUAACACAUGCAAGUCGAGGGGAAACGACGGGGAAGCUUGCUUCCCCGGGCGUCGACCGGCGCACGGGUGAGUAACGCGUAUCCAACCUGCCUCUGACUGAGGGAUAACCCGUCGAAAGUCGGCCUAAUACCUCAUGGCAUCGUCUGCGGGCAUCCAACGACGAUUAAAGAUUUCAUCGGUCAGGGAUGGGGAUGCGUCUGAUUAGCUAGUUGGCGGGGUAACGGCCCACCAAGGCGACGAUCAGUAGGGGUUCUGAGAGGAAGGUCCCCCACAAUGGAACUGAGACACGGACCAAACUCCUACGGGAGGCAGCAGUGAGGGAUAUUGGUCAAUGGGCGAGAGCCUGAACCAGCCAAGUAGCGUGCAGGAUGACGGCCCUAUGGGUAGUAAACUGCUUUUAUGCGGGGAUAAAGUGAGGGACGUGUCCUUCAUUGCAGGUACCGCAUGAAUAAGGACCGGCUAAUUCCGUG
rnacentral:rRNA from 1 species